AAGAAUGAAAAGAGGGAGAGAGAAAAAAAUAUUCAAAACAAAGACGAGGGCAUCUCUCGGAUCUUUGUCUCCUUCUGUAUGUUUGAUUUUCUUGUGUGUUCACUUUUGUCUGUCCUCAUUU
rnacentral:ribozyme from 1 species